ensembl:lncRNA
ACCAAGUUCUCAGUGAUGCUUCAUCAGCACCAUUUGAAGCACACAGUCUGGUUUCAUCUUUUUCUGAUCCUCCCAAUGAACAUGCAAGCACCCUGUGUGAUAUGGACACGUAUGAACAUAGUUUGCUGCUUUAAUUGAUAAUAAUUAGGAAUUUAUAUAAUCUUAUUAAAUGACUUAUAGUAUGCUGUUUAAAUGUUGCUUUAGGAUGCAGUUUGGCAAGUGUGCAGCUGAAGACAUCCAAAUACCAGACGAGCAGGAUUCUGGAAAGCAAGAUUGCACAGAAGAGCCAUCAGAAGCUUCUGAGGAAUGCAGUGCCCCUCUGAAUCAAAAUUCAAAAUCUGACAUUUCAGAUUCAGCUGGAGUGGAUACAGGUGCAGUUGAUAAAUAUUCUGAGGAGGAGCCCACCUUUAUUUUAACUCUAUAUGAGAUUCCAGCCUCUCAGCUAUUUCACGAGGCUGCCUUUGGGCAGCAGGGUACUCCCCGUUAUGAACUGCAGCCAGCACAAUUCCAAACAACCUCACUGUUGUCGAGCAGUUCACAUUUUCAUUCUGUCACAUUAGAGGCUUCCAGUGCAUCUCUGCAUAUGGCAUCAGAAGAGACCAGUAAUCCAUGUAAAAGUAGCUCGCACAAGUUAGUGGAUGACUCCAUGGAUCCUCUUUUAAAGGAUGCAGUAGAUGGUGCCAGGACACAAUUGAUAUCCUCACAGGAAUGCAGUCGUGAUGAUGUGACCUCUUUAAUUGGUCCACCCACGAUGUUCUCCUGUAAUUCUGUCAUGGUAUGA